rnacentral:tRNA from 1 species
GGGGUUGUAGCCUAGUGGUUAGAGCGUCGGACUCAACUUGAAGGUGGGGGUUCGAUUCCCAAUCCCA